AUUGAACGCUGGCGGCAUGCCUUACACAUGCAAGUCGAACGGUAACAGGUCUUCGGAUGCUGACGAGUGGCGAACGGGUGAGUAAUACAUCGGAACGUGCCUAGUAGUGGGGGAUAACUACUCGAAGGAGUGGCUAAUACCGCAUGAGAUCUACGGAUGAAAGCAGGGGAUCGCAAGACCUUGUGCUACUAGAGCGGCCGAUGGCAGAUUAGGUAGUUGGUGGGAUAAAAGCUUACCAAGCCGACGAUCUGUAGCUGGUCUGAGAGGACGAUCAGCAACACUGGGACUGAGACACGGCCCAGACUCCUACGGGAGUCAGCAGUGGGGAAUGUUGGACAAUGGGCGCAAGCCUGAUCCAGCAAUGCCGCGUGCAGGAUGAAGGCCUUCGGGUUGUAAACUGCUUUUGUACGGAACGAAAAGCCCUGGGUUAAUACCCUGGGGUCAUGACGGUACCGUAAGAAUAAGCACCGGCUAACUACGUGCCAGCCGCCGCAGUAAUAC
rnacentral:rRNA from 1 species